UCCGGAAGGCCUCGUUCACCGAUGGAUAGC
rnacentral:piRNA from 1 species